CCCGGUCAGUGGGAGGAUUUAAGAUGAACUGCAAAGGCGGUCUGGGAAGGUGGGCUCCAGUUCUCUGUACACCGCUUUACCAUGUGUAGAGAAGCCACCCCCCCCCCGGUUAGUUUUGUUUUAUUAUUUGUUUUUUACCUUAGGAUGCCUCAUGUUUUGAGUCUCUUCUCUGCUUGUUCUGGAAGACUUCUUAGAGGUCUUGAGGCUUUUUCAUGCUUUGGUUUAACUAGUCCUUUCUGGUUAGAUGUGAAGCAUGUUGCACACAAGCAGCAACAAAGCAGGAGUUUUAAGUAGUUUGAAUAAAAAUCUCUUUCUCUCUGAGCAGCUCCGGUUUCACUCUUGUGUUACUGGCAGCCAGCUCUCAGUUUGUCUAUAGAGUCUUGCAGGAAGAGGCAAGGUCUGAAUAUUUUAUGGAAGGAAAAACAGACAGAAAAGGGAAAUACUUCUUUCCUCUUAAUAACUUUUCCUGCCUACAGACUGUUUUGUCAAGAAACAACACAGCUCCAAGCCUAGUUGCUUUCUCCUUUGCAGAUCAAUGGUAGUGUCAACGUCUUAGUCUUGGGUCAUAUACAGGGGAGGGGAAGUGUGUUGAGUGGUGUAAGCCAAAUUCAAGCUCCACUGAAGUGAGUGCAGUUACACACUGGAUGAAUUUGGCCCUGUAUCUUUUAAACUUUUUGAUCCAGUGAAAAAAGAAUGACCACCAAGAGUGCAGCUUUCCUACUUCUGGGACUGCAGGUCUCAAAAGCUGAACACAGCAGGUGAGGGGACUUGAUUUGGAUUGUUUUUUAGGGACUGGGUAAUCUAGAACAGGUAAAGCUUUGCUAUUGCUUUUCCUUUUCCUCUCCAGCAUUGGGGAAAUCUGUUUUGCAGUGUGCAGGAAACACUGGUGAAGAGUCCUGCAGAUGGCACUUGUCUGUCCCAGCGAGUGGGAAGCCUGCGUGUUCUUUGUGCGAGACCGUAUUGGGGGAAGGGUGGGGAGUUUGAGCAGUUAGCAGAUCUGGACAUACGUCUUGUCCUGGAUCUUCCAAGAGGGGGACGUGCUUGAAUGCUGAUUAAGAAUGACAGUGAACCAGUUUGUCUUUUUAAAAUAUUUUCCACUAGUGUGUAAACUGCAAUUACAGUCUGAAAAGGAGGGAGAGCCCUAAUUGCAGGAUCUGCUCCUCUUCUGCCUGUAGAAUACUAGAGAACAAUGCAGUGUAAUGUACAGCAGGAAAGGAUGUCAUGGGUACUCACAGCAUGAGAACCACCAAAUACUCUUGCUUGUGAUUAUAUCAGGUGGCAGACUAGGAUACUGAAGACAGUGCUUGUGGUGCUCCAUUGGGUCCGACCAGGUAUCCAUAUAGCCAGCUUACUAGAAUCUACCACACUCACAAAAAAGAAAUCUGACUUAUUUCCUAGGUAGUUACAGUAUUGGACCUGCCAUCUGGGGAUAGCCUUGCAUUUGCAGUUCUUCAGUCAAUUGGAGAUGUAGCUUGAUUAGGUUUCCUUGUCUUUCCUUAUAGCAUGGCAGAAGCAAGCUCUGUGUAGGAAUUACUCUUCCUUCUAUAAUAAAAUAUAAUUUUUAUUAGACAGUGAACUUCAUUAAAAAAACAAACAAACUUUGUAUGAUACUGUUUUAACCUCUCGAUUACUUUUCCUUUGGGAUGAUGUGUGCUGCUUUUCACUCAGUUUAGACCGGGGUGUGCAGCCUUCUGGCCCUGCCGGCUGCCUAGGUGAAUGGUAAUGGGGCUAGUUUGUGGACUAAAUGAAACCCAUGGGUGAGAUCAGUCCAUGGACCUGUGCCAGAGUCACCCGGUGGGGUCAUCUGCAGGGGCAGUCUGGCACACCCAUCUGGCUCUACGCACUGGAUCUGACUGUAUUGAUACCAUGUGCUGGCCUGACUCCAUGUGCCCGAUCUGGUCGUGAAGUGGAUUUGGCUAUGGAGUGACCCUGAAUUCAGUGCAUGGGACUGUCAUCUGGCUGUCAGGGGAGCCACAGCAGUUAAUGCUGCCACCUCUCCCCUGCCACCAAAUUUUCCAAACUCAUGGAGAGCCCUGUGGACUGGAGGUUGAGCACCAGUGAUUUAGACAAAAAAAAAGUCUGUUUCACUUAAUUCUUUAUCUUUGGUUCUUGUGGACUACACAUCAUUACAAAAUUUGGAUUUCUGAGCAUUGAGGUAGAUGUUAGUACCCAAAAACUGUCUUCACUGACAGGAUGGAGCUGCAGACUUUGCAAACCUCUGUUAGAUUUUGUGCUUUUUAUUUAACUAUUUUAGUAAGUCACAUUUGAAAAUUGUUCUUUUUUUAGCAGCUCUUCUUUAGUGGCUUUAAAAUUUUCAGGUUCUGUGCUGCUUUUUGGGAUUGCAAAAUCCAGCUGAAACAAGCAUGACUUCCUUUUAAAAAUGACUGAGAAUUUUUAUUGUAACUGUUCAGUGUAAAGCAUGUGAAGGCGGGACAGGGCCUGAG